GAACUGCCGGCUGCGGUGGUUUCUGGUUGCCAUACACAGAGGCAAACAAAGCCGAGGCCACGCGGGGUAGCCCCGCCCAGCGCCAGGCUCCGGCUCCGGUUUCCCACCCCUCACCGGGUGGCGCCAGGUCACCCCGGGAUGUUUUCCUUCGCAGAAACUUUGUAUGGACCAAACAAGACAGCCACAACCUGGAUGCAGCCCAGUGACUGUGGGUGUAUGACUGCUGCUCCCAACUUUGUAAACGUCUCAAUGUAAGGGUGACUUAUGUGACCCUGGGCUCCUGGGUCUCACUCAGCCCAGGGGUUGUGAACAGCAAGUACUUAUAUAUGCCUUCUGAAUAAAAGAGUGACUAAUGGUCAUUUAUCCCCUA